ACAUGGCCGAGCUUUAAUUACUCUUAAUUACCCAAACCCAUCCUCCUAGGUCCAAAUCUGGGGCAGGUGCAUCCCACUGGGAGUAGGGAGCUCUGUGAUGGAGCUGCCCUUCCUGGGAAAGCCAUUUGGUCUGGAUUCCCUUGGGAUGGCUGCAGCAUAGCAUUAUCACCUUCAGCUAGGUCAAGUGGAGUGGGGUAAUGAUUAGAUUUAUCAUAAAGCAACCAAACGAGCAGCAAUACAGCCAAGUGCUUUCCAUUCAGUGACACAUCCAAAUCUUAUUUAAAAGCUCACAGCCUGACCCUGGGACUGUGCUCUGGCCAAAGGAAAUCAGCCUGAUAGUUCCCUGGAGAGAGCAGCCAUGGCUUUAAAGUGUCUUCUGAAAGCAUCUAUCUGGCCAGCUUAACCAAAACGCCAAAAACCCUGAGCUGGAGGGUUGGGUUAUGUGACCUUCUCACUCUCUUCUCCAUCUCUGCAGCUUGAAAAGCCUCAUCCUGGGAGUGUGCUGGGAUGGCUCAAUCCAGCAAGGAAAGCUCCAACAGCAUACCAAAUCUUCCCAGGCUGUGCUCUCAUAUCUGCAUCACCGGUACCCAAAGGGAGAAUUAACAUGCUGUGAAAGGGAAGCAACCUGCUUUAUUCCAAGUUCCUAGGGCAAGUCUCGUGCACAGAGAGGCUGUGGAAUCUUCUUCCAUGGAAUUGUCCAGGGCAGAUUGGACAGUGUUUGAGCAUGCCAGGACAGUGGAGGAUGUUCCUGCUUAUUGCAGGGGCGUGAGGUCUAAUGAGAAGAGACAGCAGAGGACUGACCAGUAUCUGCUCCCUGAUUUCCCUCUGUGCUGUCAGGAGAUCCAAGGCUGUUACUCCUGAGCAAGGACUUAAUGCAAUGUGACCUGAUGGCAGAGCUACAUCAUGGCCCUUCCUGAGGUGUGGAGAGUGGGGGGUGGGGGAGAAAUAAAGCAGCAGGAUAAAUCGGGAUUCAGGAAAAGAUGUGAACCUUGGCAGCAUUGCCAUGGUAACGGGGGACCUGCCAGUGCCUGCUGCAGCCUGGCACAGGCAGCAUGGCACUGUGGGCACUGUGGCACACUGUGAUCCAGGAUGGAGAGGGCUGGUGCCGUGAAGAGGCUGUGCUUUCCCUUCUGGAAGUCAGCAGAGGCCUUGGGAAGAUGUUCUGAAAGCUGGUGGCAGCGUGAGGAGGGACAUGAGAGUGUCCUGAGCAGGAUCCAGCCUCCCGUGCAUCCCCACAGUCGCAGUGCUGCUCCCAGCUCGGCUGCUGCUGGAUGGAGCACACAGGCCAUGAGGCAGGUUGGUUGUGCUGCUGGCAGCAGGGAUUCCUCUCUGGGAAAAAACACCCAGGCUCUGGCUGUGUGUGAAUUCCCCUAAAGAGUGAAACCCAGACCUUUGUACGUUGUUCAUCCCAAUCAAACACAUUCAGUGUCCUGCAGCCUCCUCUGGACCAGCACCCACAGCCUUCUCCCUGCUCACAGCAGCUCCUGAGCAUCCCAACCCCCUUUUCCCAGCUGCCUGCCUGCUCGGCUUUCCUUUGAAGGCAGGGCUAGGCACAGAAAAAGAAAACUCUGUCCCAGGGGGGCCACGCAGUGCCCCAGUUCCUGCCCUGCUGUGGCCAGGGUUUGGCUCCCACCCAGCUCCCAGGGCUUGCUCCAGCCUCUGAGUGCCUUCCUGUGGCCAAGCUGUGAGUCCAGCAGAGAGAGGGACAGAGGAACUGGCUCCCUUGGGGCAGCACCAGCGGCAUGGGACAUGCUUGGGUGGGGAUAUCUCUAGGAAUGGGGGCAGCGUGGGCAGCAGGGUUGGAUGGGAACGAGCUUGCUGCACCCUGAGCAAAGCUGGGAGCAGAGAUUGAUUAACGAGGCUGUGCUGUAAUUACUGCCGGCAUGUUUGCCCCCAGCCCUGCUGUGCUGUAGAGGGAGAACUUGUCCUUGCAGCCGCUGCCAUCCCUCCCUGUGCAGCCAUGUGAGAGGCAACCCAGACAAGAGGAGCUAAAAAUAAACCUGGGUAAAAAUAGUCCCACGUGUGCUUGCUUUUGAGGGGAAAUGAGGGGAAUUUUCAUCUGAAGGAAAAGGAAAAAAAUAAAAAAAGAAACUGAAA
ensembl:lncRNA